rnacentral:lncRNA from 1 species
CUCGAACUCAUGAACCAUGAGAUCAUGACCUGAGCUGAAGACAGAUACCUAACUGAGCCACCCAGGCGCCCCUGAAUGGAAACAUUUUUAAUGUUCAUCAAUAGGAUGAACAAAUUAAGCAAAUUAAGGUAUAUUGAUAAGAGUGGAAAACCAUGCCACUAUUAAAUGUAUUGGGUAGAUCUAUAUGUAUUGUCAUAGAUAGAUGGGUAAGUGGAAAAUAAAGUUGAACUAUGGUUUCAUUUGUGUAAGAAGCAACUAUAGCAUCUCUUUGCUAGAAGUGACAUAUGAAACCCCAAAUCUGAGAUCUAUUCUCUCCUGAGCCUGGGUCAUUAGAACUAAUUUUGGUUGUUCUAAGACCUCACUGUAACAGCCCUUGUUGUAUAGGAGUUUGAAAGUAGAAUCUAUGCUGUAGGAUCUACAUCUACAACGAAUUCAUGCCCCACUCACAAAGUGGAAUAUUAGAGAAUACCAGCCCCCUUCUGAAGUAACUGGAGGCCCGAUACUCACAGGAUAUCCAAACUUAGUAUUGAAUUCUCUGUUGUUGGCUUGCAGAUAUCUCUCUUGUUCUGAAAGAGAAGAAAGAAAUGAUAAGGAUAGCCCUCUAAAGAUCAGCCUGGGAUGCUGACCACCAGUGAAGACUUCACUAAAUCUUCACACUUUCUCACUGAGGAUUAUGUCUACAAAUGGGAUUUUCCUGGGGUGUCUGGGUGGCUCAGUCAGUUGAGUGUCUGACUUUGGCUCAGGGCAUGGUCUCAAGUUCAUAAGUUUGAGCCCUGCAUCAGGUUCACUGUUGUCAGUGCAGAGCCUGCUUCAGAUCCUCUGUCCCUCUCUGCUCCCCGCCCCAUCAAAAAUAAAUACACAUUAAAAAAAUUCAAGGGGAUUUUCUUUCUAUUUGAAGAAUCAAGAAAUACAAUAAAAAUAAAAAAAAUAAAAAGAUUCAGGAUAAAAUUUCUCAUGCCAAUACCAUUUCACUGAAACAUGUGCUUAAGACACUUGGUACUUGUUCUCAGAAAUCCAAAAUAAUCUACCUCUAAGACACAUAUGCUAAAUUUUAGAAUUCAUUUCGUAUGUUCUCAUCAUAAAGUUAUAUUUUCAAAGCUUGGCAAACAGAUUCUACUUUCUGUCAACCAAGUCUGAGCUGAUGACUACACUUUGUCAGAAAAAUUAUCUGAGACAGAUCAUUGGAGAUAAGCAAAAGAAUUACCAGGUGAUCUCUUAGUGAAGUUCUGG